ensembl:lncRNA
ACUCAGACCCCUGGUGCCAAGCACUCUGCGUCUUGGUGCCCAGGACCAAGUACGAGGGCCUUUGUCCCCCCCAGGAGCCCUGUGUGCUCCCCUCUGGGAGUGAGGAGUAGGCUCUGCCCUACGGAGAGUGACGGAGGCCCUUCCUGCUGGGGCCACUGUUUCCCACCGAGGUCCCGGGCACAGCAGAGGGGAGGGGCCAGGCCUGGGCAGGGUGCUGACGUGGAAGGAGGGGCCUCGUAAGCCCCAGGGUCCUGGGCCCCACCAGGCCCAGAAGGUGGACCAGAGGGCCCUGAGCAGUGAGCGGUGCUGCCUUGGACCAGGAGUUGGCUGUCCACAGUCUUGGCCAGGCUGCAUGCCAUGAACCCCCAAGGCCACCCCGCCCUCCACUUCUGCCUCUGGCUGUGGCUGGGUGCCAUCUCCACGCGUGGGCAGGGACAAGGAGGUGGCCGCCUGAGGCUGGCCGUGCUGCCCGGGACCGGCUGCAGAUGAAGUGGCGAGACCUGCAGGGCGCGGCGCUCGGCUAUCUGGUGCAGGUGAAGCCCAUGGCAGGUAAGGGGCCCGCCUGCCCCUCAGCCCCUCUGUGUGGUGGUCACUGUGCCAUGGGGACCAGCCGCUCCCACCACUGCCUGCAAGGCUCCACUGCAGGAUGCGGCUCUGUUAUCCUUUGUCUUUCUUUCAGAUUUUUAUGUUUAUCAGUGCAUGUUUGCAGUAUGUAAUAACUACACUCAUUUUGGGAAGUUAGUACAUGUAUGUAACGUAUCUUAACUCCUCAUCCCUUUCCCUCCUCUCCCUUCCUGUUUUCUCUUGGUCUCCUUCCCAUUUGCAAAGACCUAUUUCUAUGUUUCCUAUUAUCUAGCUUUUAUUUUGCUCUUUAAUUACUUGUGCAUUGGGUUUCUCAUAUAAGCAAACCCAUGCAAUAUUUAAGCUUGUGUGUCUGAUUUAUUUCACUUAACAUUACGGUCUCAAGGUGCAUCCAUUUCCCUACACAUGAUUCAGAUUUGUCCUUCUUUAUGGCAUCAUCCUGCACUGUGUGUGAAUAUACAUUUUCUUUGUCCAUUCAUCGAGUGGUGGACACAGGGGCCAUGUGCAUGACUGAGCUGUGUCCCUGGCAUGCGUGUGUCUCUGGAGUGUGAUGUCUGCAUCGGGGUGUCUUUGUCUCUGUGCUUCCUCCUGUCUCUGCCUUGCUCACUCUUGGAGGACCUGUGGGCCCACAGUACAUGCAGAGGGCGCUCAGGACAGAGGCUGUGAGGAAACAGUGCCUCCUGAGAGUCCCAGGGCCUCAGGGCUUCAGAGCAGCCUGGGCUCUGCACACACACGGCUCUGAGUUCUGUACAUGCACAACUCUGCACACACAUGGGCUCUGAGUUCUGCACACACAUGGGCUUUGCACACGCACAGCUCUGGACACACAUGAGCUUUGCACAUGCACAGCUCUGCACACACAUGGGCUCUGAGUUCUGCACACGCACAGCUCUGCACACACAUGGGCUUUGCACACGCACAGCUCUGCACAUGCAUGAUUGCACACACGGCUCUCUGCAUAUGCUUGGCUCUGCGCACGCAUGGGCUGGGCUGCAGAGCCCACAGUGCCAGCCCUGUGUUCCAGAGCUGGACCCUGAUGAGCCCAAGAGGCUUAGCCCCUCAGACCACAGGACACCACUAAUGUGCAUACUUUAUCAUCCUGUUAAAUACAUGGUGGAAUUGAUUUGCAGAUAUUUUGCCUAAGGUUUCUGUACUUAUGCUCACAGGGAAUAUUGGUC